GACGAACGCUGGCGGCGUGCUUAACACAUGCAAGUCGAACGGAAAGGCCCUGCUUUUGUGGGGUGCUCGAGUGGCGAACGGGUGAGUAACACGUGAGUAACCUGCCCUUGACGUUGGGAUAACUUCAGGAAACUGGGGCUAAUACCGGAUAGGAGCUCCUGCUGCAUGGUGGGGGUUGGAAAGUUUCGGCGGUUGGGGAUGGACUCGCGGCUUAUCAGCUUGUUGGUGGGGUAGUGGCUUACCAAGGCUUUGACGGGUAGCCGGCCUGAGAGGGUGACCGGCGACAUUGGGACUGAGAUACGGCCCAGACUCCUACGGGAGGCAGCAGUGGGGAAUAUUGCACAAUGGGGGGAAGCCUGAUGAAGCAACGCCGCGUGCGGGAUGACGGCCUUCGGGUUGUAAACCGCUUUCGCCUGUGACGAAGCGUGAGUGACGGUAAUGGGUAAAGAAGCACCGGCUAACUACGUG
rnacentral:rRNA from 1 species